AGCAUUGAAGGCGACUGGUAAGCCACCUGCUCUUUGGUCAAUUUCGGAGUAGUAGUUGUAGGUUCGAAUCCUACCAAUGCAA
rnacentral:tRNA from 1 species